CCUUUUUGCAGGUUGGGUAGGUCCCAGGUAUAGGGGAAACUCUGCCGAAUUUCCGGCAUGAAUUAGGCUGUCUAUUGCCUCUUUAGAGUUUUAUCUUAACUUAGUACUAAUAAAUUUAUAAUUUAAUUAUUAGGUGAUCGAGGUCAGCUAUUUUUCUGCAUCCAGCAGCCACAAUAGUCAUCGGUGUACUGCUACAGGAGGAGACAUUUUUCAGAAUAACCUGUCCCUUUCCUCUCAGGUUAUGAAAAGAUUACUUAAUUGUAUUAUUAUUCUCUAAAUUUGUAAUUUAGGACUCUGCAUAUGCUAGUAGUAGCAUUAAGCCUGUCAGGGACUGUAUGAAUUCAAGUUUUCAUAUUAAUAAAUGAAAAGAAAAAAAAAUUUUAUGA